AUUGAACGCUGGCGGCAUGCCUUACACAUGCAAGUCGAACGGCAGCACGGGACAACCUGGUGGCGAGUGGCGAACGGGUGAGUAAUGCAUCGGAACGUACCUUUCAGUGGGGGAUAACGUAGCGAAAGUUACGCUAAUACCGCAUAUUCUGUGAGCAGGAAAGCAGGGGAUCGCAAGACCUUGCGCUGAUUGAGCGGCCGAUGUCAGAUUAGCUAGUUGGUGAGGUAAAGGCUCACCAAGGCGACGAUCUGUAGUGGGUCUGAGAGGAUGAUCCGCCACACUGGAACUGAGACACGGUCCAGACUCCUACGGAGGCAGCAGUGGGGAAUUUUGGACAAUGGGGGCAACCCUGAUCCAGCCAUGCCGCGUGAGUGAAGAAGGCCUUCGGGUUGUAAAGCUCUUUCGGCCGGGAAGAAAUCGCACGGGCUAAUACCCUGUGUGGAUGACGGUACCGGAAUAAGAAGCACCGGCUAACUACGUGCAGCCGCCGCGGUAAUAC
rnacentral:rRNA from 1 species